rnacentral:rRNA from 1 species
AACGAACGCUGGCGGCAUGCCUAACACAUGCAAGUCGAACGAGACCUUCGGGUCUAGUGGCGCACGGGUGCGUAACGCGUGGGAAUCUGCCCUCUGGUACGGAAUAACUCAGGGAAACUUGAGCUAAUACCGUAUAAUGACUUCGGUCCAAAGAUUUAUCGCCUGAGGAUGAGCCCGCGUAGGAUUAGCUAGUUGGUGAGGUAAAGGCUCACCAAGGCGACGAUCCUUAGCUGGUCUGAGAGGAUGAUCAGCCACACUGGGACUGAGACACGGCCCAGACUCCUACGGGAGGCAGCAGUGGGGAAUAUUGGACAAUGGGCGAAAGCCUGAUCCAGCAAUGCCGCGUGAGUGAUGAAGGCCUUAGGGUUGUAAAGCUCUUUUACCCGGGAUGAUAAUGACAGUACCGGGAG